AUGUGGGAAAGGAAUUAUCCUCUCUCUCUCUCUCUCUCUCUCUCUCUCUCUCUCUCUCUCUCUCUCUCUCUCUCUCUCUCUCUCUCUCUCUCUCUCUCUCUCUCUCUCUCUCUCUGUCUCUCUCUCUUUAUUCUCCUAUGUCUUUCAUUUAUUCUCUUUCCCUAUCUCUGUUUUAAUAAUCUUCCUUCUUUUUUUCUCAUUCUCUUAUUUUAUCCUAUCUUCUUGUGGUUUAUAUAUCUUUCUUCCCAGACCCUAGACCCGAGGUCAGUUAAUGCUCCCUCAUAAUCUCAACCAAUUCAACUAAGUCAUCCACCCCACCCCCCCAUCUUCUUACUGUUGCCAUCUUACUUUCUUCUACCUGGAUAGCAGACAAGCAAAUAAUAAGCACUUAUUAAGCACUCACUAUUUGCUAGGCCCUCUGGUAAGUACUAGGGAUAUGAACCUGAGAGAAAAGAAAGCCAGUUCUGGUCCUUCAGGAGUUAAUAUUCUAAUGAGGUUAAACAACACAUAAAAGAAGAGCUGGAAAGUGGAGGAGGGGAUUCAGAAGCAAGGACAUGGGGAAGGAACCUGAUAUGGGCAGGAUGGUUAAGUAUAGAAAGUCAGAAGCAUAGCUAGGAGAGUAAGGGAGUAUGGCUGACCCAAACCUGUCCUUGAAAUGGGGGCUCCCAGCAUCACUAACCAGAAAGAGAAGAGGUCUGGCAUGGAGGAGGGAUAUUUGAAGAAUAUUAGACAGCUGAGUCAUGGAAAAAGAGGCUAGAGAGUUAGGAGCAUAGCUAGAAGGGAAAAGUACCCUCUGUACAGGAUCAGCACCCUUUUCACAGGACUCUACAAUUAAUCCACUGGCAACUAGACUUCCUGCUUGAGUCUUGGUCAUUAGCAUUAGUAACGUAGGUCAAAUUUAUGAUCUCCUUUUAUCUAGUUGACCUAAGACUCCAAAACUCUGAAAAUAUCUACAUUCCUUCAUAUGUCAUCAAUACCUCAAUCCAUAUCAUCUUGUCAUCAACCUAUCAUUACAUGGACGCUCUUACCAUCCCCCUUUCUGUCUCUUACACUGGGCAUGAUUAUGUAAUAUAUUUCCUCUGGAAAGAGUAUGUUAAUUGACUGUAUUUACUCACCAGCCUGUGAUUCCCCUUAGCAAAAAAAAAAAAUUCUCUUGCCUGUUUUCACCACUCAUCUACAUGAAUUAACUCCCUCUUUAUUUAAAAAAAAUUUUUUUUAAACCCUUACCUUCCAUCAUGGAGUCAAUAUUGGCUCCAAGGCAGAAGAGUGGUAAGGGCUAGGCAAUGGGGGUCAAGUGACUUGCCCAGGGUCACACAACUGGGAAGUGUCUGAGACCAGAUUUGAACCCAGGACCUCCCAUCUCUAGGCCUGGCUCUCAAUCCACUGAACCAUCCAGCUGCCCCCUAACUCCCUCUUUAGAAUGUAAGUUCAAUGAGAGCAGGCACUGCUUCACUUUUUGAAUUUACAUAUCCAUUGUUUAGCACUAUGCCUGGCACAUUAUAAACCUUUAAUAAAUUAGUUUUCAUUUUCUCUCA
rnacentral:lncRNA from 1 species